GAUGAACGCUGGCGGCGUGCCUAAUACAUGCAAGUCGAGCGAACGGACGAGAAGCUUGCCUCUCUGAUGUUAGCGGCGGACGGGUGAGUAACACGUGGAUAACCUACCUAUAAGACUGGGAUAACUUCGGGAAACCGGAGCUAAUACCGGAUAAUAUUUUGAACCGCAUGGUUCAAAAGUGAAAGACGGUCUUGCUGUCACUUAUAGAUGGAUCCGCGCUGCAUUAGCUAGUUGGUAAGGUAACGGCUUACCAAGGCAACGAUGCAUAGCCGACCUGAGAGGGUGAUCGGCCACACUGGAACUGAGACACGGUCCAGACUCCUACGGGAGGCAGCAGUAGGGAAUCUUCCGCAAUGGGCGAAAGCCUGACGGAGCAACGCCGCGUGAGUGAUGAAGGUCUUCGGAUCGUAAAACUCUGUUACUAGGGAAGAACAUAUGUGUAAGUAACUGUGCACAUCUUGACGGUACCUAAUCAGAAAGCCACGGCUAACUACGUG
rnacentral:rRNA from 1 species